CACCGGGGAACAUUAGCUGAAAGCUGAUACCUUCAGGAUGAGGAACGUGUUAGUUUUUGUGUUGGUCAUUGUGGUGCUGUGUGUUGCUCAGGCCACCUACCCACCACGAGGCCGGUAUUACCCCAGACCUUACGGGUAUGGGCACCCAGGAUAUUACCCCAAGCAAUACCCCAACUAUUACCCCAACUAUUACCCUCGCCCUUUCCCCCACCGUUAUCCUCCGUAUCCCCGUGACGUUAAGGUCAUAGUGAACACGGAUCAACACAUGGUCAACAACAACAGACCAGGAAGGUUUGGUCAAGGCGAACAAGAUUCUAGUGGCAUCAAUGCUGCUGACAUAUAUAUUUUGAGUCACCCCAAAAGAAAGUCCAAAACUAUCGUCUCCAAGAACUAGUGAAGAGGAAUGAUGUAACAAAACUUCGGGUGUGUGAGCACACCGUGACACAAUAAAUCAUUGUGACAUUAAA